rnacentral:rRNA from 1 species
UACGUAGGGUGCUAGCGUUGUUCGGAAUCAUUGGGCGUAAAGCGCGUGUAGGUGGUUAGUUAAGUCGGGUGUGAAAUCCCUGGGCUCAACCGAGGAAGUGCAUUCGAAACUAACUAGCUGGAAGAUGGUAGAGGAAGGUGGAAUUCCUAGUGUAGAGGUGAAAUUCGUAGAUAUUAGGAGGAAUACCGGUGGCGAAGGCGGCCUUCUGGACCAUUCUUGACACUGAGACGCGAAAGCGUGGGUAGCAAACAGG